rnacentral:rRNA from 1 species
UACGGGGGGGGCAAGCGUUGUUCGGAUUUACUGGGCGUAAAGGGCGCGUAGGCGGCCAGCACAAGUCAGUUGUGAAAUCUCCGAGCUUAACUCGGAAAGGUCAACUGAUACUGUGCGGCUAGAGUGCGGAAGGGGCAACUGGAAUUCUUGGUGUAGCGGUGAAAUGCGUAGAUAUCAAGAGGAACACCUGCGGCGAAGGCGGGUUGCUGGGCCGACACUGACGCUGAGGCGCGAAAGCCAGGGGAGCGAACGGG